rnacentral:rRNA from 1 species
GGGCCCGCACAAGCGGAGGAACAUGUGGUUUAAUUCGAUGAUACGCGAGGAACCUUACCCGGGCUUAAAUGUAGAUUGCAUAAUUUAGAGAUAAAUUUUUCCCUCAAAAGACUAUCUACAAGGUGCUGCAUGGUUGUCGUCAGCUCGUGCCGUGAGGUGUCGGGUUAAGUCCCAUAACGAGCGCAACCCCUGCUACCAGUUACCAGCAUGUAAUGAUGGGGACUCUGGUAGGACCGCCGCCGUAAGGCGAGAGGAAGGUGGGGAUGACGUCAAAUCAGCACGGCCCUUACGUCCGGGGCGACACACGUGUUACAAUGGCCGGCACAGAGGGCUGCUACACAGCGAUGUGAUGCUAAUCUCAAAAACCGGUCGUAGUUCGGAUUGGAGUCUGAAACUCGACUCCAUGAAGCUGGAUUCGCUAGUAAUCGCAUAUCAGCCAUGAUGCGGUGAAUACGUUCCCGGGCCUU